rnacentral:rRNA from 1 species
UCGACCAGAGGGGAAAAGGAGCAAUCCGCUUUGAGAUGGCCUCGCGUCCGAUUAGCUAGUUGGUGAGGUAACGGCCCACCAAGGCGACGAUCGGUAGCCGGACUGAGAGGUUGAACGGCCACAUUGGGACUGAGACACGGCCCAGACUCCUACGGGAGGCAGCAGUGGGGAAUAUUGCACAAUGGGGGAAACCCUGAUGCAGCGACGCCGCGUGGAGGAAGAAGGUCUUCGGAUUGUAAACUCCUGUUGUUGAGGAAGAUAAUGACGGUACUCAACAAGGAAGUGACGGCUAACUACGUGCCAGCAGCCGCGGUAAAACGUAGGUCACAAGCGUUGUCCGGAAUUACUGGGUGUAAAGGGAGCGCAGGCGGGAAGACAAGUUGGAAGUGAAAUCCAUGGGCUUAACCCAUGAACUGCUUUCAAAACUGUUUUUCUUGAGUAGUGCAGAGGUAGGCGGAAUUCCCGGUGUAGCGGUGGAAUGCGUAGAUAUCGGGAGGAACACCAGUGGCGAAGGCGGCCUACUGGGCACCAACUGACGCUGAGGCUCGAAAGUGUGGGUAGCAAACAGGAUUAGAUACCCUGGUAGUCCACACUGUAAACGAUGAUUACUAGGUGUUGGAGGAUUGACCCCUUCAGUGCCGCAGUUAACACAAUAAGUAAUCCACCUGGGGAGUACGACCGCAAGGUUGAAACUCAAAGGAAUUGACGGGGGCCCGCACAAGCAGUGGAGUAUGUGGUUUAAUUCGACGCAACGCGAAGAACCUUACCAAGUCUUGACAUCCGUUGACCGCUGUAGAGAUACAGUUUUCCUUCGGGACAGCGAGACAGGUGGUGCAUGGUUGUCGUCAGCUCGUGUCGUGAGAUGUUGGGUUAAGUCCCGCAACGAGCGCAACCCUUAUGGUCAGUUACUACGCAAGAGGACUCUGGCCAGACUGCCGUUGACAAAACGGAGGAAGGUGGGGAUGACGUCAAAUCAUCAUGCCCUUUAUGACUUGGGCUACACACGUACUACAAUGGCGUUAAACAAAGAGAAGCAAGACCGCGAGGUGGAGCAAAACUCAGAAACAACGUCCCAGUUCGGACUGCAGGCUGCAACUCGCCUGCACGAAGUCGGAAUUGCUAGUAAUCGUGGAUCAGCAUGCCACGGUGAAUACGUUCCCGGGCCUUGUACACACCGCCCGUCACACCAUGAGAGCCGGGGGGACCCGAAGUCGGUAGUCUAACCGCAAGGAGGACGCCGCCGAAGGUAAAACUGGUGAUUGGGGUGAAGUCGAAACAAGGUA